GACGAACGCUGGCGGCGUGCCUAAUACAUGCAAGUCGAGCGCAGGAAAUCGACGGAACCCUUCGGGGGGAAGUCGACGGAAUGAGCGGCGGACGGGUGAGUAACACGUAAAGAACCUGCCCUCAGGUCUGGGAUAACCACGAGAAAUCGGGGCUAAUACCGGAUGGGUCAUCGGACCGCAUGGUCCGAGGAUGAAAGGCGCUUCGGCGUCGCCUGGGGAUGGCUUUGCGGUGCAUUAGCUAGUUGGUGGGGUAAUGGCCCACCAAGGCGACGAAGCAUAGCCGACCUGCGCGGGUGAUCGGCCACACUGGGACUGAGACACGGCCCAGACUCCUACGGGAGGCAGCAGUAGGGAAUCUUCCACAAUGGACGAAAGUCUGAUGGAGCAACGCCGCGUGAACGAUGAAGGCCUUCGGGUCGUAAAGUUCUGUUGUAAGGGAAGAACAAGUGCCGCAGGCAAUGGCGGCACCUUGACGGUACCUUGCGAGAAAGCCACGGCUAACUACGUGCCAGCAGCCGCAGUAA
rnacentral:rRNA from 1 species